rnacentral:lncRNA from 1 species
CCCCCACUUCCUUUUGAAUAGUUCCUGACUACAGGAAAUGAAUUUCUUAUCUGUAAAUUGGGUUUCUACAAAACAGAUUUCCAUACGUUGGCUAAUUUUGCAUUUAUACCAGGAAAAGAUCUGCAUUAAGUUUUACAACCGGAGUGAAAAGUCCAUCUGGGCUCUGUGCGAUCAGCAGCUCAUGACCAAGAGGACUUGUUUCCAUCUGCAGUGAUCUUAUCUCAAAGCCACAAGGAAAAGAUGCAAAGCUUGACUUGAGAGCCUGCUUCGCAGAAUCCAGUUAUUGGCAAAGAAAUCUACACUGAGGUAUUUCAUUAUAACUGCAGUGGUGAUUAUUGUGUGUUUGCUGCACAGCCCAGUAUCCCAUGACUUUGGAGUGCUCCAGGCAAACCAGAGAUGCGGUCAGGGUCAGUGCAAUCUUACCGUGUGACAACAGAAGGCAAAGCUGACUGACUGGUUCCUGUUUCUGUCCCUCCGACCUGCCAGCAGCUCAGCAGAUGCUCAAGGAUGUCACCCAGCUCAAACUGUUUCCUUUCCAUGUCUGGUAUUUGCCAACUCUCUUCUAAUGAGAUGUCCUCACUUGGAAUUUAUACAGGUGCACUUCAAGAGGAAGAACUUGAACUUCUGCACAUGUGGCUGUUCUGCACAGCUGAAUAUCUGUGUGACCUGGUAUAUCAACAGUCAACGUCCCCCGGAAAAGCUUUGCAGAUUUGGGUCGGCUCCCUGGUUGAAGGAUGUAAGGAAUGAAAAGAGACCAUGGAGAGAAGGAGGUGACAUAGAGAGAAUGACUGAGUGCCUGGAGUUUCCCUCUGAACACCAGACGAAAAUGUGGAGCAUCUGGUCAGGAAAACCACACUUCAGAAGAUUUAAAUAUAGUGUCUUGUUAUCUCAGUCUAUUUCCUUGACAGAACAUGAGGCUGAAUAUCUUUUUGUUGAAUUUCUUUCUCUCUUUUUUUUCAUAAAGAAGCUGAUAAAUCAGGAGGAUUACAGGGAAUGA